rnacentral:misc_RNA from 1 species
AACACGCACGGGCACCUGCUCGAUCUGAGAAAAACGGGACCUGUUAUGGCAUGUCGCCUUGACAACAGCCAACCAGUGAUGCUUAAUUCAAACCUCGUGACAAACGACAUCCAAUCAGCGCGCGGUAUUUUGAACGUAGUACGUUUCUUUGUCCCUCAGAUUGACCAACAGAAUUUUACUACUUUACUACAACUGGAAACUUUACUACUGCGUUUCUUGUACUUGGCAAAUGGGCAUCUACUGUGAUUACCUGAACCCAGCAUUGACGUAACAGGACUUGAUAUACUACAAUACUGAAAUUCGCCGUUUGUGAGACCUUUCAUUCAACUUGUAUGGAAAAUUCUUAUGUGUGGAAAACAAGUAAGAGAGGAUCGGAUUUAUCAAAACACCACAGCCCUCCAGUCCAGCCUCAUCUCUCUUACAUGCUUCUCUGUGAAUUACUGAAAAUGGAUAUAUAUAAUCACAAUGACCCUGACCAUUUGUCAGUAAUGGACAUGAUGGAUGAUAGAAAUGAUCUGGAUAGUUUGUUUCUGAAUUCCGACAGGCAGGAUUGUGGCUUGGAUCCAAAGUUAGACACGGUGUCAGUACUUCCUGAUCUCGAUGCAAUGGACACUGGUGUUUCAGCUUCGGGCGCAUUCGGGGAAUUUGACUGGAUUCAAGGCCUCCAAAGUGCGGCUCUUGCACAGCUGCAUCAGUUAUCAGAAACUGAAAACACCGAUCCGAAUCUUCUUGUAAAUCCACAAACUGCCAUUCCAGUGCACCUGCAGCAACCAGCCCAUACGCAAACUGUACGCGAUGCUAUGUUGACUGAAAAUCUGAACAAUGUGAGUGUGAUCGUGACGAGUACUCCAACAACAACCCUAUCCCUUGAUUCCAUAGGAUCACAGAAUACUGUGUUUACUACUCAAGGUGGUUUUGCAGUUUCAAAUCAAAACAAAAAUGUACUGUCUCCGUCAGAAAGCUCGCCUGUAUUGGUUGGCCAUCUACAGAAUGGAAUCCGUCCACGGUCACACAUAACAGUUAACUUGCCACCCGCUCCAGGACAAAGCGUCAGUAUAUCUACCAGUGCACAUACUAAGAAAGACACGGACAAUAGUAAACCGACAGAGAAAGUUUUCCCCAAACCUGUCUAUUCCUACAGUUGUCUCAUUGCCCUGGCUUUGAAAAACAGUCAGAAUGGCAGUUUACCUGUCAGUGAAAUCUACAACUUCAUGACGGAAAAUUUUCCAUAUUUCAAGACUGCUCCUGAUGGUUGGAAGAAUUCUGUACGGCACAAUCUAUCUCUGAACAAGUGUUUUGAGAAAGUGGACAACCCUAAACUGAGCAGUAAUGCCAAGAAGGGAUGCCUGUGGGCUCUCAAUCCAGCCAAGAAAGACAAGAUGGAGGAAGAAAUAGCCAAAGGGAGCAAGAAGGACCCUGUCGCUUUACACAGCAGCAUGGCAUACCCCCGGAGAGGCUUGAGAAGAUUGAGCGAGGUGAAGCUGGGCUACACAUGGAGCCUACCACACCAACGGCUCGACCACCAUCUCCAUGCACCCCGUCAGACACCACUGCCAACUCACACACACCAGCCAAAACUGAUGAUCUCUUCGCAUCAGAACUUCGUGAUCUCAAUGUCCUUGACUCCAACUUCACCCUUGAUCCCUCUCUGUCAGAUCUUGCCAUGCAGCAUGGCCUGUGGGAUGAUGAUCUUGCUAAUGACCUCAACAUUGACAUGAGCCCCCAUGUUGCUAUGGCAGCUGUGGGAUCACCUGUGGCAUCAUCAGGCUCCUCCAGCAGUUCAGUGUUUGCUGGUCUGCACGGGGCCUCCUACCAUGGGACAUGUGUGUACACCUCUAGUCCAGUUGCUGGGCUGCGGUCACCAUCGCCAGGAACACUGACCGCAACGCUGCUCAGUCUAACCACUCCAAAUCGCAC